rnacentral:rRNA from 1 species
UACGAAGGGAGCUAGCGUUGUUCGGAAUUACUGGGCGUAAAGCGCACGUAGGCGGAUUGCUAAGUCAGGGGUGAAAUCCCGGGGCUCAACCUCGGAACUGCCUUUGAUACUGACAAUCUCGAGUCCGAUAGAGGUGGGUGGAAUUCCUAGUGUAGAGGUGAAAUUCGUAGAUAUUAGGAAGAACACCGGUGGCGAAGGCGGCCCACUGGAUCGGUACUGACGCUGAGGAGCGAAAGCGUGGGGAGCGAACAGG